AUCCAUAGGUUAAUGAGGCGAACCGGGGGAACUGAAACAUCUAAGUACCCCGAGGAAAAGAAAUCAACCGAGAUUCCCCCAGUAGCGGCGAGCGAACGGGGAGGAGCCCAGAGCCUGAAUCAGUGUGUGUGUUAGUGGAAGCGUCUGGAAAGGCGCGCGAUACAGGGUGACAGCCCCGUACACAAAAAUGCACAUGCUGUGAGCUCGAUGAGUAGGGCGGGACACGUGGUAUCCUGUCUGAAUAUGGGGGGACCAUCCUCCAAGGCUAAAUACUCCUGACUGACCGAUAGUGAACCAGUACCGUGAGGGAAAGGCGAAAAGAACCCCGGCGAGGGGAGUGAAAAAGAACCUGAAACCGUGUACGUACAAGCAGUGGGAGCACAGAGCAAUCUGUGUGACUGCGUACCUUUUGUAUAAUGGGUCAGCGACUUAUAUUCUGUAGCAAGGUUAACCGAAUAGGGGAGCCGAAGGGAAACCGAGUCUUAACUGGGCGUUAAGUUGCAGGGUAUAGACCCGAAACCCGGUGAUCUAGCCAUGGGCAGGUUGAAGGUUGGGUAACACUAACUGGAGGACCGAACCGACUAAUGUUGAAAAAUUAGCGGAUGACUUGUGGCUGGGGGUGAAAGGCCAAUCAAACCGGGAGAUAGCUGGUUCUCCCCGAAAGCUAUUUAGGUAGCGCCUCGUGAAUUCAUCUCCGGGGGUAGAGCACUGUUUCGGCAAGGGGGUCAUCCCGACUUACCAACCCGAUGCAAACUGCGAAUACCGGAGAAUGUUAUCACGGGAGACACACGGCGGGUGCUAACGUCCGUCGUGAAGAGGGAAACAACCCAGACCGCCAGCUAAGGUCCCAAAGUCAUGGUUAAGUGGGAAACGAUGUGGGAAGGCCCAGACAGCCAGGAUGUUGGCUUAGAAGCAGCCAUCAUUUAAAGAAAGCGUAAUAGCUCACUGGUCGAGUCGGCCUGCGCGGAAGAUGUAACGGGGCUAAACCAUGCACCGAAGCUGCGGCAGCGACACUGUGUGUUGUUGGGUAGGGGAGCGU
rnacentral:rRNA from 1 species